rnacentral:misc_RNA from 1 species
AGCAAAGAAGAGGUAAGGAAAAUGAGAGAAAAAGUGAUUGAUUAUAUCCCCAGAUUUGUGUAUGCAAGAGGCUACGAAGGCUUAGAGAGUAUAAAAGAUGCCUUUGAUAUUGCCAUAGAUGGGGUAUUGAAGAGAUUCAAGGAGCAAGAGGAUUGGGGUUACAAAUGGUAAUAGGUUAGUAAAUAAUGAGGGUAAACUGAGGAAUUGACUAGGUUUUUUUU